CACAAGGGGCCACAGUGAGCACAGAUGGGCCCUGGAGAGUCAGUCCAACAACUUUUCACUCUGAUGAAAUACAUUAGUUAAAAAUAUAAACCAGACAGUUUUCCAUGUGAGGAUGAACAGAAAGAAAACCUGAUAAAUGUGACUCUAGUAGUUUGUCACAUCAAGUGAUUUCAAGUUUUCAGGAAACUUCCAAGUGAGAAGAGCAGCCAUCUCAGUGCCUGAGGCAGCCUCCAGAUCAUGGCAAGAAGCUGAAAUGGGCUGGAAGAUUGAAACUGAUCUUCAGAGAGACCCAGAGCUCCCAGGGUGUCACUCGGGGGUUAUUCUGCAACACCACAACUUAGCGUGCCUCAAACACAUGUAACGAGAGACAAACCCAGGCUACUCAAAGGCCAGCACGGAGACUAAAGCAAGUGUUAGCACUGGAGCACACCUGAAAAGACUAAGAAUAGCUGCAUUUCUAGAGUGCCUUUCAUGUGAGGAAGUCAGAAUGACUGAGAGCGAGAUACGAUCCCUACACGGGAAGCAAAAGACAGUGCCUUUUCUCUGCUACUACACCAAAUCUUAUCCAAAGGCAAGCAGUUCCAACCCAGUGAAACCAAGAUUUGCUC